UACGGGGGGGGCUAGCGUUGUCCGGAAUCAUUGGGCGUAAAGCGCGUGUAGGCGGCCCGGUAAGUCCGCUGUGAAAGUCGGGGGCUCAACCCUCGAAAGCCGGUGGAUACUGUCGGGCUCGAGUGCGGAAGAGGCGAGUGGAAUUCCUGGUGUAGCGGUGAAAUGCGCAGAUAUCAGGAGGAACACCGAUUGCGAAGGCAGCUCGCUGGGACGUUACUGACGCUGAGACGCGAAAGCGUGGGGAGCAAACAGG
rnacentral:rRNA from 1 species